AUACGUAGGUGGCGAGCGUUGUCCGGAAUUACUGGGUGUAAAGGGCGUGUAGGCGGGAAUGUAAGUCAGAUGUGAAAUACCAUGGCUCAACUGUGGGGCUGCAUCUGAAACUAUGUUUCUUGAGUGCUGGAGAGGAAAGCGGAAUUCCUAGUGUAGCGGUGAAAUGCGUAGAUAUUAGGAGGAACACCAGUGGCGAAGGCGGCUUUCUGGACAGUAACUGACGCUGAGGCGCGAAAGCGUGGGGAGC
rnacentral:rRNA from 1 species